rnacentral:rRNA from 1 species
GACGAACGCUGGCGGCGUGCUUAACACAUGCAAGUCGUACGGUAAGGCCCUUUCGGGGGUACACGAGUGGCGCACGGGUGAGUAACACGUGAGUAACCUGCCCACAACUUUGGGAUAACGCUAGGAAACUGGUGCUAGUACUGGAUAUGUGCUCCUGCUGCAUGGUGGGGGUUGGAAAGCUCCGGCGGUUGUGGAUGGACUCGCGGCCUAUCAGCUUGUUGGUGGGGUAGUGGCCUACCAAGGCGGCGACGGGUAGCCGGCCUGAGAGGGUGACCGGCCACAUUGGGACUGAGAUACGGCCCAGACUCCUACGGGAGGCAGCAGUGGGGAAUAUUGCACAAUGGGCGCAAGCCUGAUGCAGCAACGCCGCGUGCGGGAUGACGGCCUUCGGGUUGUAAACCGCUUUCAGCAGGGACGAAGCUUUUUGUGACGGUACCUGCAGAAGAAGCACCGGCUAACUACGUG